GAGGAGAGUCCCGCACGCGCAGAGGCCGCGUCACCCGCUGCUGGUGCCUGGGGCCGGGACCGGGCGGAGCAGGAGAGUUUGUGCCAGGACCGGUGACCUUCGAGGAGGUGUCUGUGUAUUUCACCAGGGAAGAGUGGGCUCUGCUGUACCCCACUCAGAGAGCCCUCUACAGGGAUGUCAUGCAGGAGAACUAUGAGAAUGUGACCUCAUUGGGUAAGGAUUCCCGUCCCCUUGGUUCUUGGAAUAGGAAAUGAAGAGAGAAGGUUCAUGCCAACCCCACAAUGCCACCUCUACUCUGCCCUGUUUCAGCAUGUCAUAAACAAAUAGCUAAGGGUUAAUGUCUCUUUCACCUGGAAAGAAGUAAUCUGAACCACCUGACCAGAGGACCAAUCAGAAAACCGGAUUUUUUCAACUCUGGGUGGAGGGAAGUUUGUGUCUGAGUUCUUUGUUUUUUGUCUGCCUGUAUGCUCUCUCGGAGGAGGAGUGAUUUCUAUUUUCUGCUUUCUAAUCUUCCGUUUCCAAGUUGUGAGUGCAAAAAGGGUUUGUUGUUUUUGUAUUUACAUGUCUAUAGUGGCUGGAGUGCUUUGAUUUGUAUUCUUUUUGAAUAAGGCUGUUUAUUCAAUAUUCUUUUAAGCAAUUGACCCUGUAUUUGUCACCUUAAUACAGAGAGACCAUUUGUAUGUAUUUUUCUUUCUUUUUUAUAUAAAGCUUUCUUUUAAGA